GCAUCAGUGGUGUAGUUGGUGGUGCACAUCUGGCUUCCAACCAGAAGGCUUUCGCGAGUUCGAAUCUCGUCUGAUGCU
rnacentral:tRNA from 1 species